rnacentral:rRNA from 1 species
GAGCUAAUACAUGCCAAAAACCCCGACUCAGGAAGGGGUGUAUUUAUUAGAUAAAAAACCGACGCCCUUCGGGGCUCACCGGUGAUUCAUGAUAACUUCGCGAAUCGCAUGGCCUUGCGCCGGCGAUGGUUCAUUCAAAUUUCUGCCCUAUCAACUUUCGAUGGUAGGAUAGUGGCCUACCAUGGUGUCGACGGGUGACGGGGAAUUAGGGUUCGAUUCCGGAGAGGGAGCCUGAGAAACGGCUACCACAUCCAAGGAAGGCAGCAGGCGCGCAAAUUACCCAAUCCCGACACGGGGAGGUAGUGACAAUAAAUAUCGAUCCAGGGCCCUCAUGGGUCUUGGAAUUGAAAUGAGUACAAUUUAAAUCCCUUAACGAGGAACAAGUGAAGGGCAAGUCUGGUGCCAGCAGCCGCGGUAAUUCCAGCUUCACGAGCGUAUAUUAAAGUUGUUGCAGUUAAAAAGCUCGUAGUUGAACCUUGGGCCUGGCUGGCCGGUCCGCCUCACCGCGUGCACUGGUCCGGCCGGGCCUUUCCUUCUGGGGAUCCGCAUGCCCUUCGCUGGGCGUGUUUUGGGGAACCAGGACUUUUACUUUGAAAAAAUUAGAGUGUUCAAAGCAGGCCUUUGCUCGAAUACAUUAGCAUGGAAUAAUAGAAUAGGACGUGCGGUCCUAUUUUGUUGGUUUCUAGGACCGCCGUAAUGAUUAAUAGGGAUGGUCGGGGGCAUCGGUAUUCAGCUGUCAGAGGUGAAAUUCUUGGAUUUACUGAAGACCAACUACUGCGAAAGCAUUUGCCAAGGAUGUUUUCAUUAAUCAGUGAACGAAAGUUAGGGGAUCGAAGACGAUCAGAUACCGUCGUAGUCUUAACCAUAAACCAUGCCGACUAGGGAUCGGGCGAUGUUU